UACGUAGGGUCCGAGCGUUGUCCGGAAUUACUGGGCGUAAAGAGCUCGUAGGUGGUUUGUCGCGUUGUUCGUGAAAACUCACAGCUUAACUGUGGGCGUGCGGGCGAUACGGGCAGACUGGAGUACUGCAGGGGAGACUGGAAUUCCUGGUGUAGCGGUGGAAUGCGCAGAUAUCAGGAAGAACACCAAUGGCGAAGGCAGCUCUCUGGGACGGUACUGACGCUGUGACGCGAAAGCGUGGGGAGCGAACAGG
rnacentral:rRNA from 1 species